AGUAGGANCUUCCGCAAUGGACGAAAGUCUGACGGAGCACGCCGCGUGAGUGAUGAAGGCUUUCGGGUCGUAAAACUCUGUUGUUAGGGAAGAACAAGUGCUAGUUGAAUAAGCUGGCACCUUGACGGUACCUAACCAGAAAGCCACGGCUAACUACGUGCCAGCAGCCGCGGUAAUACGUAGGUGGCAAGCGUUAUCCGGAAUUAUUGGGCGUAAAGCGCGCGCAGGUGGUUUCUUAAGUCUGAUGUGAAAGCCCACGGCUCAACCGUGGAGGGUCAUUGGAAACUGGGAGACUUGAGUGCAGAAGAGGAAAGUGGAAUUCCAUGUGUAGCGGUGAAAUGCGUAGAGAUAUGGAGGAACACCAGUGGCGAAGGCGACUUUCUGGUCUGUAACUGACACUGAGGCGCGAAAGCGUGGGGAGCAAACAGGAUUAGAUACCCUGGUAGUCCACGCCGUAAACGAUGAGUGCUAAGUGUUAGAGGGUUUCCGCCCUUUAGUGCUGAAUUNACGCAUUAAGCACUCC
rnacentral:rRNA from 1 species